rnacentral:rRNA from 1 species
UACGUAGGGGGCGAGCGUUGUCCGGAAUCAUUGGGCGUAAAGAGCUCGUAGGCGGUUCAGUAAGUCAGGUGUGAAAGCUCCGAGCUCAACUCGGAGAGGCCACCUGAUACUGCUGUGACUAGAAUCCAGUAGGGGAGUGUGGAACUCCUGGUGUAGCGGUGAAAUGCGCAGAUAUCAGGAGGAACACCGGUGGCGAAGGCGGCAUCCUGGACCGGUAUUGACGCUGAGUGAGCGAAAGCCAGGGGAGCAAAACGGGG